rnacentral:lncRNA from 1 species
GAAGAAGAAAGAUAUCUCGAAAAAUCUAUCUCUUUUCUCUGAGAACACAUUAGAGAAAAAUUUCUUGUAAUCUGUAUACACCACUUGUAUUCAGAAAAAUAUUAGAUAGCUUGAAGAUAGGAAAGCGUGUAAUAAGGUAAUCACUUAUGGAGUUCUAAACUUCAUAAGGUGAGUACCAAAGGUAUGUAAAUAUAGUUUGUAA